rnacentral:rRNA from 1 species
UUCUAUUAGAACUAGUUAAUAGUAAAAUCUGCUCACUGUACAAUAAAGAGCCGCAAUACGUGCUAAGGUAGCAUAAUCACUUGUCUUUUAAUUGAGGACUAGAACAAAAGAUUUAACAUUUAAUUUACUCUCCCUAAUUCAAUCAUCAAAUUUUUCCAAAAUGUUAAAAGACAUUUUUUCAAAAGAAAGACGACAAGACCCUACUGAACUUUACUGAAGUUUGAACUGGGGUAGUUAAUUAAUUAUUAUUUUAAUAAAUAUAUUUAAAUAAAUAUCCAAUAAUAUUGAAUUACCUAGUUACCAUAGGGAUAACAGCAUAAUUAUUUUUAAAAGCCCAUAUACAAAAAAUAGAUUGUGACCUCGAUGUUGAAUAACAACCUAAUUAAAGCAAGAUUUAAUAUAAAGGAAGUCUGUUCGACUUAUAACCAUUUACA